rnacentral:rRNA from 1 species
AAAGAAAGAGGGAGGAAUGAAUAACACAUGCAAGUCGAACGAGACCUUCGGGUCUAGUGGCGCACGGGUGCGUAACGCGUGGGAACCUGCCCUUAGGUUCGGAAUAACUCCCCGAAAGGGGUGCUAAUACCGGAUAAUGUCUUCGGACCAAAGAUUUAUCGCCUUUGGAUGGGCCCGCGUUGGAUUAGCUAGUUGGUAGGGUAAAAGCCUACCAAGGCGACGAUCCAUAGCUGGUCUGAGAGGAUGAUCAGCCACACUGGGACUGAGACACGGCCCAGACUCCUACGGGAGGCAGCAGUGGGGAAUAUUGGACAAUGGGCGAAAGCCUGAUCCAGCAAUGCCGCGUGAGUGAUGAAGGCCUUAGGGUUGUAAAGCUCUUUUACCCGGGAUGAUAAUGACAGUACCGGGAGAAUAAGCUCCGGCUAACUCCGUG